rnacentral:antisense_RNA from 1 species
AUGGGGUUUUCCAAACAGUUCUUCACAUUCUAUUAGGACUUCUAUGGCUACAGAUAUGUGUGUGUUUUCAGCAUUAACUGUGAUUUUUUGUUGUUGUUACUGUUUUGUUUUUUUUGAGACGGAGUCUCACUCUGUCACCCAGGCUGGAGUGCAGUGGCGUGAUCUCAGCUCACUGCAACCUCUGCCUACCGAGUUCAAGCAAUUCUCCUGCCUCAGCCUCCCGAGUAGCUGGUAUUACAGGUGCCCACCACUACGCCCAGCUAAUUUUUUGUAUUUUUAGUAGAGACAGGGUUUCACCAUGUUGGCCAGGCUGGUCUUGAACUCCUGACCUCGUAAUUCGCCCACCUCGGCCUCCCAAAAUGCUGGGAUUACAGGCGUGAGCCACCGCGCCCUGCAUUGGUUACCUUUUAUGGUUGGCACUGGAUGGAUGGAUGGCCAUUUAUGGUAGUGAUGCAACAUUUCUCUCAAAAUAAAUUUAAGUCAGUUUAAAAGUAAGCCAGGCCGGGCGCAGUGGCUCACGCUUGUAAUCCCAGCAGUUUGGGAGGCUGAGGCAGGUAGAUCACCUGAGGUCAGGAGGUCAAGACCAGCCUGACCAACAUGGAGAAACCCCGUCUCUACUAAAAAUACAAAAUUAGCCAGGUGUGGUGGCGCAUGCCUGUAAUCCCAGCUACUCGGGAAGCUGAGGCAGGAGAAUCGCUUGAACCCAGGAGGCAGAGGUUGCGGUGAGCCAAGAUCGUGCCAUUGCACUCCAGCCUGGGCAACGAAAGCGAAACUCUGUCUCAAAAUAAAUAAAUAAAAGCCAAUUUGAAGAGGUGAUUAAGUACAUAAUUGUAAAGGUGGUUGAUGAAUAUGCCAAAAACUGUGAAGAUGGGAUGAAGAUGACCAAAGUCUAUCAGCAGUUCUUAAAGUAAGACCUGGGGACCCCUGUGAACACGUGAUACCCUUUCAGAGGUCUCACACCCAGCUAAUUUUGCAUUUUUAGUAGAGAUGGGCUUUCGCCAUGUUGGCCAGGCUGGUCUCGAACUCCUGGCCUCAGGUGAUCUGACCAUCUUGGCCUCCCAAAGUGCUGGGAUUACAGGUGUACACGAGCCACUGCAACUGGCCAGUUAUUUUUUAAGUUUUUUUUUUAAAUUUAAUUUUAAUUUUUGUGGGUACAUAGUAGGCAUAUAUAUUUAUUAUUGUUAUUUUUAAAUGAAUUAAUAUUUUGAAAAUUUCACACUUUAAAUUUCUAAAAUGGUAAAUAUAGAUAAAGAAAAUCCAGAUGAUUAAAAAAUCUUUGUGAUCCUCAAUAAUUUUUCAGAGUAUAAAGGGAUCAAAUAGGCCAAAAAACUUGAGAACUGCUGAGUUAGAUCAUUCCAAGGGCCCACCCAGUGCUAAAAAUGUCCACAGUUUCAAAAAUGAAACUAUUUAUAGUUUCAGCCUUUUGGGCAACAACAUCUCUUCCAAGUUUUGACCUUUAGUAUAAAACAGGAUGUCUCUGAAUCUGUCCUGAAUCGGCUUUUAGAGUCCCGGGGGUCUCUCAUGUUCUGUCACUGAGACUCAGUAAACAGACUUCUGUACAUACGGUAUUGCUAUAGAAAACGUGCACACGGUGGGGCGCGGUGGCUCACGCCUGUAAUCCCAGCACUUUGGGGUGCCAAGGCGGGUGGAUCAUGAGGUCAGGAGUUUGAGACCAGCCUGGCCAACACAGGAGUUCGAGACCAGCCUGGCCAACAUGGUGAAACCCCGGCUCUACUAAAAAUACAAAAAUUAGCUGGGCAUGGUGGCGCGUGCCUGUAGUCCCAGCUACUUGGGAGGCUGAGGCAGGAGAAUCGCUUGAACCUGGGAGGCGGAGGUUGUGGUGAGCCGAGAUCGCGCCACUGCACUCCAGCCUGGGCGACAGUGCGAGACUCCAUCUCGAAAAAAAAGAAUACAUGCACACACAUAUGUCUGUAACACAGUAACGUCCUCCUCUGCUAGGUUUAAUAUGUUCAUACUCUAGUUGUCUAACCAGACAUUAAGGGCUUUGAGGGCAGGAACUGUGUUCUAUAAUAAACCAACGAAUAUGCCUGGCACCUGCCACAGGCUGCUGGGCUGCACACUCAGGCUUUGCCUGCCAGGAUCUUACAGCCUCCCAGGGAAGAUGAGAGCAACACGCAGACCAGUGAAGGGAAGCAGGAUGCUCACUCGGGCCAGGUACUGCGUGUGUCACUUAGACAUUCUGUAGAGGGUGACCAAGUGUCCACCAUAACUUUUCCACAACUCUUCCAGAUAAGUAUCGACACCACCAUUUUCCAGAUGAGGAAAUCGAGGCUGACAGGUGACAUGGCUUGCUCAGGGCCAGUCUAUGGCCAGAGCUGUCAUUUUUCCCUCUCGUGCCAUGCAAGUGCCAAAUGGGGGCACAGGUGGAAAAGGUACCAAAGCACACAGGAGGUGGUGUUAUUUUGGGCUGAGAGGGGGACUUGGAAGGCUUCCUGAGGGAGGAGUCAGGGUCUGAACUGAGCUUUGGGUGGGAAGAUGAUUUGGAGCAGCUGACGAUAGGAGGGAGACAGUGGGGAGGAGGGCUCCAGUCCGGACAGCCCUCCUGCAUUCCCACCGGGGCCCCACAGGGCAGGACACGCGGUCCCGGGCUCACCGACAUGGCCAGGUGCAGCGGGGUGUUGCCGUGCUCUCCGCGGGCAUCCGCGUUGGCCCCGUGGGUCAGCAGCACUAUGGCGCAGUCGAAGCGGUUGCGCAUCACCGCCACGUGCAGGGCCGUGUUCCCCGCGGAGCUGGUGCUGUUCACGUUGCAGCCCCGUUUCAGCAGCAUGCGGGCCAUCUGCGGGAGACGGUCAGGCUGAAUUAGCACAGGCACUCGGGGAGCUGCCGCACCCCGGGACACGUGGGCACUGCCACUUCUGCUCUGAGAGGCCUACAGGUACUGGGAUGUUGGAAAGCACUAGCAAGAGGAUUCCAGGGGCAGGCCCCAGUUCUAGGGGAGCCUAGACUGCCUCCCAUCCCAUCAGCAUCCCAAGACUAGGGACAAAAAGCCAAAGAUGUGCUGACUGUUUGAAGAGGCUUCUGGUCCUUUCCUAGUGCCAACAGAACCCACUCUCCUUGCAAAGGCUCCUCUGGGGCCUGUCCUGAAGCACCCCGCUCCCUGCAUCCCUCCCUGGAACCCUGCAAAGGUAUCACCUCUCACUGGGCCUUGGCAAUGCACAUCCCUGGGAGAGCCUUGGGAACAGGGAGGGGAGCCUGGCUUUGGAGUCACAGACCUGAGCCCAAAGCCCAGCUUCACUCAUCCCAGCUGCCUGCGCUUGGAUGGGUCACUGUAGCCAUGUGCACUUCAGGGCUUCUGUGAAGAUGGGAAUGCAAGUCCCCACCUCACAGCAUGUGAUGACAAUGAGUGACCAAACCUACACAGAAGGGCCUGACUUGGUGUCCGGCUCCUGGAAUGCAGAGUUACCCCUGAGGCUGGCAGUGCCCUCCCUCCUGGCCCAUCACAUUGAGAAGUAGGCCAUGAACUCUGGGGCAUCCCAUUCUCUGUCAAGCUGUGCUUCCUGGUGAUGAGACCAGAGGCCUCCAUCCUCCCAGGAGGACAGAGCUUAGCUUAGGGGAAGAACUCAGAGGAGAUGCCCAGCCAGGCUCCCUGUGUGUGCAGCUAGGCCCAGCACCACCACCACCACCAUCAUCAUCCAUCAUCAUCAUCAUCAUCUUGAUGGUUAAUAAUGAGUGUCAACUUGAUUGGAUUGAAGGAUGUAAAGUAUUGACCCUGGGUGUGUCUGAGAGGGUGCUGCUAACGGAGAUUAACAUUUGAGUCAGUAGGGGAAGGCAGACCUACCCUUAAUCUGGGUGGGCACCAUCUAAUCAGCUGCCAGCACGGCCAGAAUAUAAAGCAGGCAGAAAAAAAUGUGAAAAGGCUAGACUGGCUUAGCCUCCCAGCCUACAUCUUUCUCCCGUGCUGGAUGCUUCCUGCCCUCAAACAUCAGACUCCAAGUCCUUCAGCUCUGGGACUUGGACUGGCUUCCUUGCUCCUCAGCUUGCGAUGGCCUAUUGUGGGACCUUGUGAUCGUGUGAGUUAAUGCUCCUUAAUAAACCCCCCUUUAGGCCAGGCACGGUGGCUCACGCCUGUAAUCCCAGCACUUUGGGAGGCCAAGGCAGGCAGAUCACGAGGUCAGGAGAUCGAGACCAUCCUGGCUAACACGGUGAAACCCCGUCUCUACUAAAAAUACAAAAAAAUUAGCCGGGUGUGGUGGCGGGCGCCUGUAGUCCCAGCUACUCGGGAGGCUGAGGCAGGAGAAUGGCAUGAACCUGGGAGGCAGAGCUUGCAGUGAGCCAAGAUUGUGCCACUGCACUCCAGCCUGGGCGACAGAGCGAGACUCCGUCUCGAAAAUAAAAAAUAAAAAAAUAAACCCCCUUCUCUCUCUAUAUAUAUAUCUCCUGUUAGUUCUGGCCCUCUAGAGAAUCCUGACUAAUAAUACAAUCAUCAUCACGCCACCUUCUAUUUGGGAAGCACUUUACAAUUUGUGCCGAGUUUUGUCACACACUGCCUUGCUGACUUCAUCACAUCUCCAAAGCAGAAUUCAUGGAUGAGGAAACUGAGGCACAGGGCGGAUCCCCCCGCCCAGCCAGAGAGCAGCAGAGCCCUGCCAGGAUCCCAGCUCUUCAUGGACUUCUCUGCCUGCACACCCACUGCAAGGUCAGUCCCCAAGUGCUAGCCUCAGGGUCCUCUCGGGAACCUGCUUCCUGAGGGCCCUGAGGACCUGCGGGGCCCGGCCCCCUGCCCCACCCACCCACCUCAGGAUCCACUCACCUCUGCGUUCUUGGCCCAGUGGAGGGGGCUAGCUCCGUAACGGGGGUCUUUGCUGUGGAUCUGGCUGCUGUCCAUGCUGAUGAUCAUCUCCGCACACCUGGUGAGAGAGGGGCCCCGGUUGGUGAGCAGAAGCUAGGGUCUGCGUGGCGUGGGAUGAAGCCAGGACUUGGAGCUUCAUCUACUGCUUACAGAUAGCAUCACUGCAAACAAAGUUCAGCAAACCCAACCAGCACACUCACCAUGGUUAAGGCUGUACUGAGCCCCUCAAGGCACAACUAACCCCCUCCUCCAGGAAGCCUUCCUGAUGCUGCCACCAGCAAUGAUCACCCUCCCUGGUACUGGCUUUAGAGUCAGAUGGGCUUGAAGUCAAGCCCCAGCUUCCUCACUGGUGGCCUCCAGAAGCUGAGCAACAUGGAGAGAGUGCUGAGAGGAGUGGCUGGGGUGUAAGGAAGACCAGGCAUUUCAGAGCCCAGUUCUGUGCCUGGCACACAGCCACCCUCCACCUCCUUACCACACUGUCAGUGAGUCACACAGUGACCUGCAUGCUAUAGGAAGCAGUAUGACAGAGUGGGAAAGAGCACAAUUGCUUUCUACUCGGUGCCUGAGGCAAGCAGUGUCCACCAGAGAUCUUAGCAUCUCCAGCCUCAGAGCAGAGGCCCCCGGUUCACAAGCCUCAUUAGGCCCCGCCUGGCCCAAAGAAAGUGCUCCAUCAUUGUAUCAUGGGUAGGAAUCUCGGUUCACAAGUUCCGCUGUGCAAGGAGGAGACUUUAAAAUUUUUCUGGCUGGGCGCGGUGUCUCACGCCUGUAAUCCCAACACUUUGGGAGGCUGAGGCAGGCGGAUCACCUGAGGUCGGAAGUAUCAAAGGACGGAAUGCAGGGACUUGAAUGGACAUUUGCAGACCCAUGUACACAGCAGCAUUCUUCACAACAGACAAAAGGUGGAAACAACCCAGGCGUCUAUCAGUGAAGCACUGAAUGGAUAAACAAAAUAGUAUUCUGCCUUAAAAAGAAAGGAAAUUCUGAUACGUGCUGCAACAUGGAUGAACCUUGAAGACAUCAUGCUAAGUGAAAUAAGCCAGGCACAAAAGGACAAACGCUGUAUGAUUUCACUGAUACGAGGUUCUAGAACAGGCAAGUUCUGAGAGACAGACAAGAUAUGGGACUUAUCGGGGGCUGUGGGGAGGGGAGAAUCGGGAAUUAUUAAUGGUUACAGUUUCUGUUUGAGGUGAUAAGAAAAGUUUUAGAAAGGGGUAAUGGUUGGACAACAUUGUAAAUGUGAUUAAAACCACCGAAUUGUACACUUAAAAGUGGUUAAAAUGGGCCGGGUGUGGUGGCUCACGCCUGUAAUCCCAGCACUUUGGGAGGCCAAGGUGGGUGGAUCACCUGAGGUCGGGAGUUCGAGACCGGCCUGACCAACAUGGAGAAACCCUGUCUCUACUAAAAAAUACAAAAUUAACUGGGCAUGGUGGUGCAUGCCUGUAAUCCCAGCUACUACUCGGGAGGCUGAGGCAGGAGAAUCACUUGAACCCGGGAGGUGGAGGUAAUGGUAAGCCGAGAUCGCACCAUUGCACUCCAGCCUGAGCAACAAGAGCGAAACUCUGUCUCAAAAACAAAAAACAAAAGUGGUUAAAAUGGCAAAUUUUAUGUUAUAUAUAAUCUACCACAGUUGAAAAAAUAAACAUAAUAUAUCAGAAUCAUUGUAUACUUUCAAUAGGUGGAUUGUAUGGAAUAGGAACUAUAUCUCAGUAAAGCUUUUUUUUUUUUUUUUUUUUUUUUAGUGCAAUUACUAGGACAGCCCACAUGGGUUUAAUUCCCAGGUCUGGCACUUACUGACUGCCUGACUUUGAGCAAAUUACUUAAUCUCUCUAAGCCUUGGUUUCCUCAUCUGUUUUUUGUUUGUUUGUUUGAGAUAGGAUUUCCCUUUGUCACCCAGGCUGGAGGGCAAUGGCAUGAUCAUAGCUCACUGUAGCCUCAAACUCCUAGGCUCAAGCGAUCCUCCUGCCUCAGCCUCCCAAAGUGCUGGGAUUAGAGGCAUGAGCCACCACACUUGGCCCUCAGCUUUAAAGGGGGAAUAAAAUACAUCAGCUCUCUGGGCUAUAGUGAAAUAGCCCACAUGAAGGCUAAGCCGGUGGCUGGGACAGCGUUAGUGUUCAGCUGCUCUUCUCUAUUAUUAGGGGUGCCCAGCACAGGCCCAGGAUUUAUGCUGCCCAGCUCCCUACAGCCCUUAUGCCAGGGCUUGGUGCUCAGCACUAGGCACAUGGAGUCAGGCCCAGCUUCUUUCCCUGGGCCCUCUGGAGCCCCCCAAGUCUUCACCCGAGUGGCUAGCUCCAGCUAGUGUCCAUGGCUUGGCUCGGGCUCUGCUGCCCCCAAACCUUCCCUGAAUUCCAGCUGCCUGAUGCCGUCUCUGAGCUCCUAGUGCAGCCCCCAGGCAUCCUCAGUCUCAGCCUCCAUCUCACUGUCUGGGAUUAUCUGUUUCCCUUCCUCAGCAGGGGCUUAACCAUCUGAGAACCGCAGGCACAAACCGAGCUUUGUGGGAAAGGUCAGCUGCAUUGAAAAACAGCAGAGGUGGCCAGGCGCGGCGGCUCACGCCUGUAAUCCCAGCAUGUUGGGAGGGCGAGGCAAGUAGAUCACCUGAGGUCAGGAGUUCAAGACUAGCCUGGUCAACAUGAUGAAACCCCAUCUCUACUAAAAAUACAAAAAUUAGCUGGGCAUAGUGGCGCACACCUGUAAUCCCAGCUCCUUGGGAGGCUGAGGCAGGAGAAUCAGUUGAACCUGGGAGGCAGAGGUUGCAGUGAGCCAAGAUCAUGCCAUUGCACUCCAGCCUGGGUGACAGAGUGAAACUCUGUCUCAAAAACAAAACAAAGAAAAGAAAAGAAAAAGAAAAACAGCGAGGGAGCUCCUAGUCUGAGCUGUGAGGGAACCACUUGUCAGUAACACUGAGGCUGUGGGAUUCUUGGAGUAGGGCUGUGCUGGCUGCCAUGUCGAUAAGGGAUCUCCCUGCUCCACUCAAGGUAGGAGCCUCUUCCUUUGUCUUCUGUGCAAAGAUCCUCUUAUGUGAUGGGACGCUGGACCCACCCAGGAUGGCCUGUGUGGGGACAGAGGGACCGGUGAGGGCUGAGGUUGUUUGAAGAGAGAGAAAACUGGUCAAUUACAGCUCCUGCCCAGUACAGCUCAGGGUGGCUGGAGACAAGCAAGAGUGGGGCCAUGUGCCAGCCCUUUGGGUAGAGAAGAGCGUCACCUGGUGUCCACUCAGGUCACAACCUGCAAAUGGGGAACCUGACUGCGGGGCUGGGGGUGUUGGUAUCUUCUCUGUUUGGUCAAGUAUUUCUGAAAGCUCUAGCUCAUUCUGGCUGUGCUUGGGAGAUUCAAGGAAAGGAGGGUUUUCCAGGCUUGGUCCAGCCCUUAGAAGGGCUAGCAAUGCCCCAUGGGGCUAGCAAGGUGGAUGCAGCUCCCAGAGGAAGGAACAACCUGAGGACAGGCACAAGUGCCAGCCUCCCUGCCUGAGUGCUGCCCGCCCAUGCCUUCUCACUGCUUGUCUGGCACUGCGCUAUGAGGUUCUGGGUGGCUGGAGUGUCUCCUGUCCUGGAGUGGCUUCUUCAUUUCGGUGAGGCUGGUGCUUUAGCACAGUGCCGGGAUCGAAGGACUCAUUGGCUCAUUCAUUCAUUCUAGAUGUUGUUCCUGUUAGAUAGUAUUUUUUUUCUUGAGAUGGAGUCUUGUUCUGUCGCCCUGGCUGGAGUGCUAUGGCACAAUCUCGAAUCACCGCAACCUCUGCCUCCCAGUUUCAAACAAUUCUCCUGUCUCAGCCUCCUGAGUAGCUGGGACUACAGGCACACACCACCACACCUGGCUAAUUUUUGUAUUUUUAGUAGAGACAGGGUUUCACCAUAUUGGUCAGGCUGGUCUCGAACUCCUGACUUCAGGUGAUCCACCCACCUUGGCCUCCCAAACUGCUGGGAUUACAGGCGUGAGCCACCGCGCCUGGCCUAGAUAGUAUUUUGAGAUUUGAGAUAUUCAUUUAUCUUUUUAUCUCAUCCCCUACCCCUUUGAAGAUAAUUUUCCUGACACCAGGGGUUCCCAGGCUCCCAAAACAUGAGCCUGUACCUGCCUCCCAACGUGCCACCAGCCAGAGAGGAAAGAGGCAUCUAGGUGGAUGGGCGCUCGGCCACCUUACCAAGCAUUUCCCAGGCUUUGAGCUGGGCACACAAGAAACCAAGGAGCACUGAAGCCAUCGGGGGGCUGUUCAGAUCAGGCUGGGCUGGGUUAGAGGAGGGGCCAGGUGGGCCUUGGGGUUGCAUCAGACUCCAGAACUGGAGCACCACCUGGAGGGGAGCUGGAAAGAGGAGACCCCAAAGAGGGCUAAGAUUGGUUGUCUCCAGUUUUAUAGAGGGAGAUUCACUCCUAGGAAUUAAGGUACAUUAUAGAAAUUUAUUUUAUUUAUUUAUUUAUUUAUUUAUUUAUUUUUUGAGACAGUUUCGCUCUUAUUGCCCAGGCUGGAGUGCAACGGUGCGAUCUCGGCUCACUGCAACCUCCGCCUCCCGGGUUCAACCGAUUCUCCUGCCUCAGCCUUCCGAGUAGCUGGGAUUACAGGCAUGUGUCACCAUGCCCAGCUAAUUUUGUAUUUUUUAGUAGAGAUGGGGUUUCUUCAUGUUGGUCAGGCUGGUCUCGAACUCCCGACCUCAGGUGAUCUGCCCACCUCAGCCUCCCAAAGUGUUGGGAUUACAGGCGUGAGACACCAUGCCCAGCCAGAAAAAUUUUAAAGUCUCCUCCUUGCAUAGCUGAACUUGUGAACUGAGAUUCCUACCCAUGAUACAAUGAUGGAGCACCUUCUUUGGGCCAGGCGGGGCCUAAUGAGGCUUGUGAACCCGGGGCCUCUGCUCUGAGGCUGGAGAUGCUAAGAUCUAUGGUAGAUACUGCUUGCCUCAGGCACGGGACAGGUGACAGGAGAGCUGGAGCCCAGCAGGACAGCAGAUGGGGAGGGGAGGAGGUCUUACCCCUUCUGAGAGAACUUCAUGGCCGAGUGGAUGGGGUAGCCGUUGGGGCCCAUGAUGUUGCACCGAGCAUUGCACAGCAGCAGCACGCGGACCAUCUCCUGCUUCCCCAGCUGGCAGGCCAGGUGCAGCGGGGUCAGCCCUUGGUUAUUCACCUGGUUCAGGCCAGCCACUGCGUUCCUUCCAAGGAGCUGAUGAAAGAGGAAGGGAAGUUUGACUCCAUAGGAUGCUGAUAAGAACGUAAAGAGGCCGGGUGCAGUGGCUCACGCCUGUAAUCCUAGCACUUUGGGAGGCCAAGGUGGGUGGAUCACCUAAGGUCAAGAGUUUGAGACCAGCCUGGCCAACAUGGUGAAAUGUCGUCUCUUCUAAAGAUACAAAAAUUAGCCGGGCAUGGUGGCAGGCACCUGUAAUCCCAGCUACUCAGGAACCUGAGGAAAGAGAAUCGCUUGAACCCAGGAGGCAGAGGUUGCAGUGAGCUGAGAUUGCAUCAUUGCACUCUAGCCCGGGCAAUAGAGCAAAAACUCUGUCUUAAAAAAAAGAACGUAAAGAGAAGCACCAGGAAAGCCAAGUGCCAGUGUGGAUGGGAGGGAAGGGGUCGACCUGGCAUGACUGUGGCUCACAUGAAACAUUUCUGAGUCAAGGAACUUAAAAGGUAGCUGUAUCUCAGGAUGGGCACUGGGGGUCCAGGUGGGAAUGAUUCUUGCUUUUCAUUCUGUCCUGACUGAUUUUUUUCUACAUGCAGGUACUAUGUUUUCAAUGAAAGAACAGCAGUAUUAAAAAGAGAGCUAGGGGCCAGGCGCAGUGGCUCAUGCUUGUAAUUCCAACACACUGGGAGGUGAGAGGAUCACUUGAGACCAAGAGUGUGAUACCAGCCUGGGCAACAUAGGGAGACCCCAUCUUUACCAAAAAAAUUUUAAAAAUUAGCCGGCGUGGCCUGGGUGUGGUGGCUCACGCCUGUAAUCCCAGCACUUUGGGAGGCUGAGGCAGGCAGAUCACAAGGUCAGGAGACCAAGACCAUCCUGGCGAACACAGUGAAACCCUGUCUCUACUAAAAAUACAAAAAAAAUUAGCCGGGCGUGGUGGCGGGUGCCUGUAGUCCCAGCUACUCUGGAGGCUGAGGCAGGAGAAUGGCAUGAACCCGGGAGGCAGAGCUUGCAGUGAGCCAAGAUCGCGCCACUGCACUCCAGCCUGGGCGACAGAGCAAGACUCCGUCUCAAAAAAAAAAAAAAAAAUUAGCCCAUGUGGUGGCACGAGCCUGUAGUCCCAGCUGCUCAAGAGGCUGAGGUGGGAGGAUCACCUGAGUCCAGGAGGUUGAGGCUGCAGUGAGCCACAAUCAAACCACUGCACUCCAGCCUGGGCGACAGAGCUAGAUGCUGUCUCAAAAAAAAGAAAGUGCUAGGAGGGUUUUACUAUCUCACUUUUGGCUCAGUGCUGUCCCCAUGAGGUUCAUUACAACCACAGUGUACCCAUGUGACACCAGGGUCACCUCACAGCAGUCCCACUGGACCUGAAGGCAGGCCAGAGACACAGCAGGAAGAGCAAAGGGCUGGCAUCGAGGCCAAUGUAAGGUCAAGCCCCACUCUCUCAGCUUUGUGGCCCUCCCUGGGCACGCUUCUUAAUUAACAACACUGAACCUCAGUUUCUUCGGAGAGGAAAGGGGAAUAAUGACCUCCACCCCAUGAGUGUAUUCUAAGAAUUAACUGGAACACAUACAACACUCAGUUCAAGGUCAGGCACCAAUCAGCACCGGAUAAAGGACAGCUGCAGUCGUGCAUGACUAUCAAGAAGCGGGUGUGCACACCCCCGCGUGGAGGCAGGGUCUGCGCGGCACCGUGCUGGGUGCGCAGAGGAUUCUCGGUGAAAGUGGAGUUCAACAGUGGGUGGAGAAUUCCCUUCCCUGAGAGCAAGAAGCAUAAGAUAUGAAUCCACAUUUUCUGGGCCGGGCACAGUGGCUCACACCUGUAAUCCUGGCAUUUUGGGAGGCUGAGGCAGGUGGAUCACUUAAGGCCAGGAGUUGGAGACCAGCCUGGGCAACAUGGCAAAACCCCAUCCCUACUAAAAAUACGGAAACUACCCAGGCAUGGUGGCACAUGCCUGUAAUCCCAGCUACUCAGGAAGCUGAGGCACGAGCAUCACUUGAACCCAGGAGGUGGAGGUUGCAGUGAGCCGAGAUCGCACCACUGCACUCUAGCCUGGGAGACAUAGGGAGACUCUGUCUCAAAAAAAAAAAAAAAAAAGGAAUCCACAUUUUCUGGUAUAACGUAGUUGCAUUCUGAUGCCAAGGCAGAGAGAACAUGAUCUUUAGAAGAAUUUUCUAAUUCUAGACAAUAAAACAUAAUCCAACAUCCUGCCUUUUCUGUUCAAUCUAAUAUAUGAAAUAGCUAUUUAAUAGUGUCACCCCAUCUGCUUGCCCACAAUUAAAAAAUCACAUCUUUUGCCCAGGUAAUCAAAAACGUUAACAGGAGGGCCUCUGGCACAAACGCCUACAGGAACUGGAGACAGUUUGGUUUGCUGGGUUUGAAUUCCUGUAAAGUAGGGUUGUCCAAUAUUUUGGCCUCCCUGGGCCACAUCAGAAGGAUUGUCUUGGGUCACACAUAAAAUACAUGAACGCUAACAACAGCUGAUCUAAAAAAAAGGUCCAUGCAUGGAUCUCAUAAUGUUUUAAGAAAGUUUGUGAAUUUGUGUUGGGCCACAUUCAAAGCCGUCCUGGGCUGCAUGCAGCCUGCAGGGCCACAGAUUGGACAAGCUUGCAAAAGGUUAAGCCCAGGUCCCGCUGGCCCACGAGCCCCUCCAGGCAGGCAUCUGGCUCACAGUUUGUGCUCAGGAAAAGCGGAACUGAACUAACUGACUGGAGCUGGGCCUUUUUUGGGGUUUAUUUUGCUGGGUUGGAGGUCGUCCCCAGGUUUAUCAAGCAAAGAGACUGAGGACGUGGCUCCUGGAAAAGGGCUGGGAGGGAAGAGCCAGGGAGGGGUCUGCACCCUCCAUGAAGGAGCUCAGGCCUCAAGGACCAAUGCGGGACAGUGAGAGGCCCGAGAGUGACACCUGAGCCCAGGGGCCCAAAGGGAACUGUGGACACCGGGAGGUAUCAGUACCAGUCACCCUGCCCCUCCCCCUGCUCACCUGCAGCACCUGAGAAUUGUCACUCUGGACAGCAUAAUGGAAGACGGUCUCUCCCUUGUAGUCGGUGACAUCCAUCUGAGUGUGGCAGUACUGCACCAGCUCCACCAGGAUCUCCCCAUCACCCUUGCGGCAGGCCAGGUGCAGGGGUGUGCAGCCCUCCUCGUUCUCCGCGCAAUUGGCACAGCUGCAGGAGAGGGCCAGGGUGAGCAGAGGUGAGCAGGUGUGGUACAAGGUGGCAGGGGGACCUAAGUGCACAUGCAGGGAAGUGCGCUCGGAAACUCGGACUUUCUGGUUUAUUUGAGCUCAAGAGCAUUCCCGCCACUCAGCUAGUUGGGCUGAUUUGAAUGUAAUUAUAUCUGAUGUGACCUGUAUCAGGUUUCUGUUCAGUUUGCUCACUUGUACAAGAGAUGGGCCCCAGGGCCACACCAGCAGGAAGUGGGCAGGGUGGUGGCACAGGAAAGGGUCACAGAACACGGAUAUCUCACUAGCCUCGGGCAAUUCACUUAACCUUCCUGGGCAUCAAUAUCCUUAUCUACACAAGCUGCUGUGCCUGCCCCAGGAAAUGGACAGAGUAGUGGUGAGAUGAGACACUGUGCUGUCCAAGAGCAUGCCUGGAAACUAAAGUACAGUGAGGGUUUUUGUUUUGUUUUGUUUUUUUGAGGUGGAGUUUCACUCUUGUUGCCCAGGCUGUAAUGCAGUGACACAAUCUCGGCUCACUGCAACCUCCGCCUCUGGGUUCAAGCAAUUCUCCUGCCUCAGCCUCCCGAGUAGCUGGGAUUACAGGCGUGCGCCACCACGCCUUGCUAAUUUUUUGUAUUUUUAGUAGAGACGGGGUUUCACCACGUUGGCCAGGCUGGUCUCAAACUCCUGACCUCAAGUGAUACACCCGCCUCGGCCUCACAAAGUGCUGGGAUUACAGGUGUGAGCCACCACCCCCGGCCAGCAGUGAGGUUUUGAGUUCUGGGCCUGGGAGCUUAACUGAGCUAUCUAGGAUAGAGACUCAGAGGAGGUGUGGCUACCUCUGCACAAGAUGGCCAACUGGUGCCCUGUGCAAGGGUGGGGACAGUGCCCUCACCAGGGGCAACAGCUGCUCCAUCUGCUGGCUGAAUGGAUUCACAAAAGGAGGCCUUCAGCUUCCAGAAGAGCAGCCUGGGCAGACACCAAGGAUCCAAGCCCCUCUUUCACCCUCUCUGGCUGAGUGACCUGCACAAGUCCUGUUAGCUCUCUCUAGAAUGAUGAUACCUGGGCCGGGCAUGGUGGCUCACGCCUGUAAUCCCAGCACUUUGGGAGGCCAAGGAGGGCAGAUCACCUGAGGUUAGGAGUUCGAGACCAACCUGGCCAACAUGGUGAAACCCUGUUUCUACUAAAAACACAAAAAUUACCCGGGCAUGAUGGCACAUUACUGUAGUCCCAGCUAUUCUGGAGGCUGAGGCAGGAGAAUCACCUGAACCCAGGAGGCAGAGGGUGCAGUGAGCCAAGAUCGCGCCACUGCAUUCCAGCCUGGGUGACAGACUAAGACUCCGUCUCAAAAUAAAAUAAAAUAACAUAACAUAACAUAAAAUAAAAUAAAAUAAAAUAAAAUAAAAUGACGAUACCUUGUGGGGGUUGGGAAAAUUCAAUUUCAUGGUGGGUAGAAAUCAGCUCCCAAAGACCUGGCACCUGGUGAGCACUCCGGACUCUGGAAACAUUACAUUGUCCUUCUUACAUUUUAAUCUGGUAGCAACGCAGCACCUUUUUUUUUUUUUUUUUUUUUUUUUCCUAGAGACCUCAUUCUGUCACCCAGGCUGAAGUGCAGUGGUGCAAUCAUAGCUCACUGUAAACUCUAACUCCUGGGCUCAAGCAAUCCUCCUGCCUCAGCAUCCCAAGUAGCUAGGAGUACAGACACAUGCUAAUUUUUUAAUUUUUUCGUAGAGACAAGGUCUUGCUAUUUUGCCAGGCUGGUCUUGAACUCCUAGCCUCAAGUGAUCCUCCCUCCUCAGCCUCCCAAAGUGCUGGGACUGCGUUAGUGAGCGACCAUGCCAGGCCCUGCUCCUUUUUAAGUCAAACUAUGGAGGGGAACUGAGGCCUGCGGGCCCCCACUGCCCACACAAGCAGGUACACACACGUUGUCCAAAUGGUCUUGUUCCCUUGCUCACCUGAUGAUACGGCUGUGAUGGAAGCACUCGCGGAUCCCUAGCUCCACAGCCAGGUGGGCCACUGACCAGCUGGGGUGGUUACGGAUGAGGUCAGUCAGGUGCUGCAGGACCUCAGUGUGCAGGACCUGAGGGGAGCUCUCAUAGAAGGGUAGCAGCUGGGAAGAAUACUGAUGGAAAUUCACUAGGGCGUCAGCCUCCAACUCCAGCUGGAAGAGUCUGUAGAGCCAGGACAGAGGAGCAAGACCCGAAAUGAGUAAGGCGGGACCCUCGGCCCACAUCCCUGCUGGAAUCAGAAGGUCCCCAGGCUGCGGCCUGGCCAGCUCCAGCCCGACUCCCCUCCCAAGCAAACACACACACACACACACACACACACACACACACACACACACACCCCUAUACACAUGUAAAUGACAUAAUGGCGUUUAGGUUAGACUUUCUUUGUUUUUUAGAGACAAGGUCUUGCUCUGUAACCCAGGCUGGGGUACGGUGGUGUGAUCAUGACUCACUGCAUCUUCGAAUUCCUGGGCUGAAGGGAUCCUCCUACCUUAGUUCCUGAGUAGCUGGGAUUACAGGCAUGCACCACCAUGCCCAGCUAAUUUUUUUUUUUUUUUUGAGAUAGAGUCUCGUUUUGUCACCCAGGCUGGAGUGCAGUGUUGUAAUCUCACCUCACUGCGACCUUCACCUCCCGGGUUCAAGCAAUUCUCCUACCUCAGUCUCCAGAGUAGCUGGGAUUAAAGGCGUGUGCCGCCACACCUGGCUAAUUUUUUGUGUUUUUAGUAGAGAUGGGGUUUGGCCAUGUUGCCCAGGCUGGUCUCGAACUCCUGAGCUCGGGCAAUCCACCCCCCUCAGCCUCUCAAAGUGCUAGGAUUUCAGGCACUAGCCACCGUGAGCCACUGUGCCUGGCCUAAUUUUUUUUAUUUUUGUUGACAGGGGGUCUUGCUAUGUUGCCCAGGCUGGUCUUGAACUCCUGGCCUCAAGUGUUCCUCCUGCCUCAGCCUCCAAAAGUACUGGGAUUACAUAGUGGUGUGAGCCACUAUGCUUGUCUAGAUUUUCUUUUAUUUUGAAAAACUCUCCUUUUCUUUGGUAAUAUCAUUUAUUAUUUUUAUAUUUUAUUUUAUUUUACCACAGCCCUGCCAUAUCCACUUUCUAAUUUCAUUGCCACAUGUGAGAGCCCCAGCCUCGAGUACUUGGCCCCUCUUCAUAGUAGGAACUAAGUAAGUAUUGUUUAACCUAAAUGUACAGCAACAAAAUAUUAUAUAAAUUAUGGUAUAACUAUGUAAUAAACUAUUAUGCAGUCAUUAAAAUGAGAUAUUUUAAAAAAGGGAAACUUUUCUUUUUCUUUUCUUUUCUUUUUUUUUUUUUUUUGAGAUGGAGUUUCAUUCUUGUUGCCCAGGCUGGAGUACAAUGGCACGAUCUCGGCUCACUGCAGCCUCCAUCUCCCAGGUUCAAGUGAUUCUCCUGCCUCAGCCUCCUGAGUAGCUGGGAUUACAGGCACCCGCCACCAUGCCCGGCUAAUUUUUUGUAUUUUUAGAAGAGACAGAGUUUUGUCAUGUUGGCCAGGCUGAUCUUAAACUCCUGGCCUCAGGUGACCUGCCUGCCUGGGCCUCCCAAAGUGCUAGGAUUACAGGCAUGAGCCACUGCGCCCGGCCAGCUUUGUUCAUUUUUAAGUGUUGAGGUUGAGUCCAAGUUUUGCUACUAAGGUGCUGUGUGAUCUUGGGAAAUCCUUUUCCCUCUCUGAGCCCCAUUUGAAACAUGAGACUAACUGUACCUGUCCUACCUACCUCCCAGAGGUGCUGUGAGGACAGAUGAAAAACCACUAUAAAAGCACUUUCAAAACCAUAACCAUUACAUGUCAGUGAUGGUUACUUAAAGUUCUGACCAGGGCUUUUAACAUACCAAAAGGUUUUGUCUUGCAUACCUCUACAAGCGCAGCAGCCAGCCAGAGUCUAGUGAAGGCAGUGCCCAGAGAGUGUUGGCUCAACGGGACCAGCCUGUUGUUCCACAGAGAGUGUGUCGAUUAACAGUUAACUACUGGGCAUGUGAUCUGUGCCAAAUGGAGGGGUCAAUUAAUGAACAAUUGCAUAAAAUGCUCUGCCCUCCUGAAGCCUUUUUUUUUUUUUUUUUUUUUUUAAGACAGAGUCUCACUCUGUUACCCAGGCUGGAGUGCAGUGGCGCGAUCUCAGCUCACUGCAACCUCUGCCCUCUGGGUUCAAGUGAUUCUCCUGCAAUUCUCCUGCUUCAGCCUCCCUAGUAGCUGGGAUUACAGGCGUGUGCUACCACGCCCAGCUAAUUUUUGUAUUUUUAGUAGGCACAGGGUUUCGCCAUGUUGGCCAGGCUGGUCUCAAACUCCUCACCUCAAGUGAUCCGCCCAUCUUGGUCUCCCAAAGUGCUGGGAUUACAGGCGUGAGCCACUGCGCUUGGCCCAAGCCUAUGUUAUUAUGGAGGAGAUCAACAAAAUGACUAAAGUAAAAACAUAGAAUAAGGAAGUACAUUAAAUAAACUAUAACGUAAUCAGUGUUACAGAAACAACAAAAACCACAACAAAGAUAGGGAAGGAGGAGGCGGAAGGAAGCCAUUCCUCAUUGCCCUUGGCUGGGUUUUUCCUUCAUCUCACCAGCCUCUCAACAUCAGGGUACUCCACAUCAAGUGUUGCCGAUAUGUCAGAGAAUGACAACUGAAAACUCAUCACUGGAAUUAGCAUCACAGAGGCAUGCACGACCUUGACAACAUUACUUUUAGUGGAAUGGAGGGAACCAAGGCUGAUUAAAGUGGGUUUAAGGACACGAUGUGAGAAUCUGAAGAUUGCAAAGAUAGAUAUUUUUGAGGAGUUUUGCUGUGGAGAGGAGCAAAUAAAGGAAGGGGUAGCGAAUGGGGAAAGUGUAAUCAGGCAUUUGAAUGCUGACGGGAACGAUGAUUCUCUCUCAGAACUUCCACUUUCCAUUAACAGCAGACUAGGGAAUGUGAAACAGACCACCUACUGAGGACAGCCAGAAAUGCUGGACAAAUUAUUUACAAACAUCUGCUGGCAGGCACUGGAUACCUCAAAAGACACUGAUGACUCACCAGGCUGGAAGGAAUGAUGGAAACCCAGGAAUUGCAGUGUUCAGGUGGCUGUUACUGGAGAGGAUGGGCAGAUGAGCAGCACCAGCAACAGCCUCAUGGGGCUCAGGACACAGGGACUGGAGCCCAGGGGUCUGCCAAGAGGUGAGCCCUGAUGAACAUCUCUUACUUUGGGUUAGGGUCCUAAAGAACUACGUAGCCUAGGAAUAAGGGUGAGCCAUACACAGACACGCUCUCACAGAGACCACAGUUCAGCCUCAAGUAAUUUCAGUUCCAGAAACUAGACUGAGGUUAUCCUAGUUGCAAGUGUUCCCAGGUACCUGGGAGAAGCAAAAAUAAAUUCAUUCUUUGUAAGGAAACAUCAAACUAGGCUCUAGAUUACUUCUUUUUUUUUUUUUUUUUUUGAGACGGAGUCUCGCUCUGUCACCCAGGCUGGAGUGCAGUGGCGUGAUCUCGGCUCACUGCAACCUCUGCCUCCUGGUUCAAGUGAUUCUCCUGCCUCAGCCUCCCGAGUAGCAGGGAUUACAGGAAUGUACCACCAUGCUCAGCUAAUUUUUUGUAUUUUUAGUAGAGAUGGGGUUUCACCAUGUUAGCCAGGAUGGUCUUGAUCUCCUGAUCUCGUGAUCCACCUGCCUCAGCCUCCCAAAGUGCUGGGAUUACAGGCAUGAGCCACUGCACCCGGCCACUCCAGAUUAUUUCUACGAGCAUACUUGCAAAUACAAUGACCAACACAUAAUCAAAACUCACCAGGCAUAUGUGGAGAUAAGACAUGAAAGAAAACCAACAGAAACAAUAUACAAAAGAAACAUAUCUGUGAGGGGACUGUAAAUAUUUAAGUUAUCCAAAAUAGACUUUAAAGUAACUGUGAUAACAUUCAAGAGGUUAAAAAAGGAAAUUUAGAAUUUUGGUGAAGAGUUUUGAAUGAUCAAAAAAGCAUCAAAUGGAAAUUACAAAAUUAAAAAAUAUAAUCAGGAAAGAGUAAACAGAAUAAAGCAUGGAGAGACAGAAGAAUACAAAAUAUAGUAGAGUACAUAAGAGACACAGACUAUCUAAUAAAAGAUCUAGCAUACAUAUAUAAGUGGAGGAUCAGAGGCAGAGUAGAAAAAGAAUCAAAUGGAAGCAACAUUUGAAGAGUUAAUGUCUGCAAACUUUCCAAAACUGAUUUUUAAAAAACAUUAUAGGUCAGGCACAGUGGCUCAUACCUGUAAUCCCACCACUUUGGGAGGCCAAGGUGGGUGGAUCACCUGAGGUCAGGAAUUCCAGACUAGCCAUGGCAAAACCCCAUGUCUACUAAAAAUACAAAAAUUAGCCGGGCGUGGCGGUGGGUACCUAUAAUCCCAGCUACUUGGGAGGCUAAGGCAGGAGAAUCGCUUGAACCAGCGGGGCGGAGGUUGCAGUGAGCCGAGAUCACGCCACUUCACUCCAGCUUAGGCAAAAGAGUGAAACUCCAUCUCCAAAUAAAUAAAUAAAAUUAUUCUGCUGAUUUAACAUACCCUAUAAGCCCUCCCUGACCCCACCAUCAAAAAAAAAAAAACAAAAACAAAAAAACAAAAACACAUAGAAAACAACAAAAAACAAGAAAGCCCCAGAAAUCCACGCUUAGCACCUUGUAGGGGUUUUAAAACAGGGCCCCCUAAAUCACUGAUAUUCCUUGCACUGAGCAGCGGGAAUUUGUAUCUCUUUACCCUUUAAUCUGGCGAUGUAACUGCAUUACCAACAGAAUAUGGCAAAAGUGAUGCCGUCCCAGCUUCCAGACCAAUGCCUUAAGAGACUGGAAGUUUCUAUUUCUCUUCUCUUGGGGCCCAGCCAUCAUGCCUCAAGGAGGCUGAAGCAAGCCAUGGUGAUGACUCUUGGUCCUGGGCCCUGAGCCCUGAAUGAACUCCCAGCCAACAGCCAGCACCAACUUGCCAGUUGCGAGUUACCUUAUAUGGUGCCGUAUAAAGUAAAGCUGAGGCUUUCCCACUGAGCUCUGCUCAAAUUGCAGAUUUAUGGACUAAAUAAAUGAUUCCUUUUAUAAGCCACUGUGUUCUGGAGUAGUUUGUUACACAGCAAUAACUGAUAAUGAUACAUAUGUUGCACAAUAUGUAUUGUAUGUAA